rnacentral:rRNA from 1 species
CACGGAGGAUGCGAGCGUUAUCCGGAUUUAUUGGGUUUAAAGGGUGCGCAGGCGGCGUGUCAAGCAAGCGGUAAAAUAGCGGGGCUCAACCCCGUCGAGCCGUUUGAACUGGCGCGCUUGAGUUCAGGCGAGGUAGGCGGAAUUCGUGGUGUAGCGGUGAAAUGCAUAGAUAUCACGAAGAACUCCGAUUGCGAAGGCAGCUUACCAGUCUGCGACUGACGCUCAGGCACGAAAGUGUGGGUAUCGAACAGG